GGAGUCGUGACCGAGAGGCCGAAGGUGCUCCCCUGCUAAGGGAGUAUGUGAGCUAAAACUUGCAUCGAGGGUUCGAAUCCCUCCGACUCCGCCA
rnacentral:tRNA from 7 species